UACGGGGGGGGGCAAGCGUUGUUCGGAAUUACUGGGCGUAAAGGGCGCGUAGGCGGCCGACCAAGUCGGAGGUGAAAUCCCUCGGCUCAACUGAGGAACUGCCUCCGAUACUGGCCGGCUUGAGUCCCGGAGAGGGUAGUGGAAUUCCGAGUGUAGCGGUGAAAUGCGUAGAGACUCGGAAGAACACCAGUGGCGAAGGCGGCUACCUGGACGGGUACUGACGCUGCAGCGCGAAAGCUAGGGGAGCAAACAGG
rnacentral:rRNA from 1 species